rnacentral:rRNA from 1 species
UACGUAGGGGGCUAGCGUUGUCCGGAAUCAUUGGGCGUAAAGAGCGUGUAGGCGGCUCGGUAAGUCCGCUCUGAAAGCCCGGGGCUCAACCCCGGGAGGCGGGCGGAUACUGUCGGGCUAGAGUCCGGAAGAGGCGAGUGGAAUUCCUGGUGUAGCGGUGAAAUGCGCAGAUAUCAGGAGGAACACCAAUGGCGAAGGCAGCUCGCUGGGACGGUACUGACGCUGAGACGCGAAAGCGUGGGGAGCAAACAGG